UUUUAAUAGAAAUAAUUAUUAAUAAAAUCUGCUCAAUGAAAUUUAAAUAGCCGCAAUUAUUAUUGUGCUAAGGUAGCAUAAUCAUUUGUCUUUUAAUUAAAGACUAGAACGAAAGAUUUAACUUUUUAUUUUCUAUAUUAAAAUAUAUUUUUAAAUUAAUUUAAAUAUUAAAAAUUAUUUAUAAAUAAAAAAGACGAUAAGACCCUAUUGAACUUUACUUUAGUUUAACUGGGGUAGUUAAUUAAAUAAUAUUUUAAUUAAAUUUAUAAAAAUUAUCCAAAACAAUUUGAAAUUUAAACAAGUUACCAUAGGGAUAACAGCAUAAUAUUUUUCAAAAGAUCUUAUUUAAAAAAAUGUUUAUGACCUCGAUGUUGAAUAAUUACCUAAUAAAAGCAAAAAUUUAUUAAGGAAGUCUGUUCGACUUUUAAUUUUUUACA
rnacentral:rRNA from 1 species